CCAAUAGCGUAUAUUAAAGUUGUUGCAGUUAAAAAGCUCGUAGUUGAAUUUCGGGAUUGACACAUCGGUCGUGCCUUAAGGGGUAUGAACUGGUGUAGUCAAUUUCUCACCUUCUGGAGAACCGCGAUGUCCUUAAUUGGGUGCCGCGAGGAACCAGGACCUUUACUUUGAAAAAAUUAGAGUGUUUAAAGCAGGCAUUUUUGCUUGAAUACAUUAGCAUGGAAUAAUAAAAUAGGACGGCAUGAUUCUAUUUUGUUGGUUUCUAGGAUCACCGUAAUGAUUAAUAGGGAUAGUUGGGGGCAUUAGUAUUCAAUUGUCAGAGGUGAAAUUCUUGGAUUUAUUGAAGACUAACUACUGCGAAAGCAUUUGCCAAGGAUGUUUUCAUUAAUCAAGAACGAAAGUUAGGGGAUCGAAGACGAUCAGAUACCGUCGUAGUCUUAACCAUAAACUAUGCCGACUAGGAAUCAGACGAUGUUAAUUUUUUAAUGACUCGUUGGGCACCUUACG
rnacentral:misc_RNA from 1 species